CUGGGAAACUGGGUCUAAUACCGGAUAGGACCAUCGUUUAGUGUCGGUGGUGGAAAGUUUUUCGGUGCAGGAUGAGCUCGCGGCCUAUCAGCUUGUUGGUGGGGUAAUGGCCUACCAAGGCGUCGACGGGUAGCCGGCCUGAGAGGGUGGACGGCCACAUUGGGACUGAGACACGGCCCAGACUCCUACGGGAGGCAGCAGUGGGGAAUAUUGCACUAUGAGGGCAAGCCUGAUGCAGCGACGCCGCGUGGGGGA
rnacentral:rRNA from 1 species